rnacentral:lncRNA from 1 species
UUGAGGUGGAAUUAUAAUGAUUAGAUAUAAAAAGAAAGUCAACUCACUUGUAUGUUCUUCUUUGCAUCAUAGAAACCAAACGACAAGGACCAUUUACGAAUAUUUGUUUUAAUUUAUUUAUAACAACAUCAUACUUUAAAAAAGAAUAAUGUUUUUUUAUUAUUUACAUAUGUUUUGGUACAUAGUGAUGUACCUGAGCAGCCCCAAGAGCUAUGGUUUCAAGCAUUAACCGGUCACCCCAUUCCUACAAAUUGGCAAUCAGAUUUAUUGUCUUUCUUUAUGAAACAAAAAAAAUUGAAAGAUAAUUAGUUUUAAAAUAGCAUAGUAAUAAAAAGACUAUAAAUAUCGACAUUUUUAGAAAUUGGUGUAACAAAGACUUUAUUGAAUUCAUUUUUUAUAUACCAAAUUAUACAAUAAAAUAAAAUAAAGAAAAUUUUGAACAUAUAAAACUUUUUUUGCUUUUAAAUAUUUCCACUGUUUCAAGAUCAAGUUAUAGUUUUAAUGAAUAAAAAAUCCAGUCAACACAUUGUUACAUACAACAAUGACAUUUUAAUAUUGUUUUUAUGACAAAACUUGCCUCAUAAAUCAUACCCACAAAAACAAUGAAAUGAUCACAACUUUAAUGUAGCAUACACAAAAAUCAAGAACUAAAACUCUUACACAUUUCAUCUAACACAUAUGCGAAACAGACCUAAAAAUAAAUUGGAUGAAAUUGCAAUACAUGUGUAAAUAGCUUUCUGAUUUCCUGAUUUAAUAUUAGGGAAUCAUAUCGAAAUCCAUUCAUAUGUUGAUUCUUCAUUCCUUAACCACUAUUCGCACAAAAGAACCAAUCAGUUACAAUAAACCCAUAUCGAAUUCUGAAACUCAUCAUAUUAACAGCAAAAGACACAUAAAUAAUACAAGAAGUUUCAUACAUCGAUAUUGAAAAAGGCAUAAAUCUAAUAAACAAAUAAUUAACCCAUUUAUUGGAAAAAAUAGCAUACGACUUACAUUAGUAGUAUCAGUCAAAAGGUUAUCCCUAGGAUAUGAUGCAUCAAAGCAAUUACCUAUUGAGAAUCCAAUUCUUUGUCCUGAAAAAAAAUGGAAGAAAAAUUAUAAAACCCAACAAAUUUCCUAUGGUUAAAUAAACUCAGCUGAGAAGAAAGACUAAUUUCUGAUUAUUUCAAUCUAAAUCUUAAAGCUUAAAAAUUAGGGUGGGAUACCUGGUGAUUUGGGUGAAGAUCUCAAGCGUGAGGAUUUCAGGGGUCAAUCUGAUGUGAGGGUGGAUUCAUAUGCCUCCUGGAAGAAACUCUUAGAAUACAGUGGGGUAUUUUUGAAUAAAAUCAAUAGACCAGAUGGGAUACCUGGUGAACCUCUUUCAUCAGAGACGAUGGAGACAGGGAGAAAAAUUGAUGAGUCGGAAUUUAUGAGGUUGUUGACUUCAACCAUAAGUUUGAAGCAUCUUUCCUUCUCGACGACGUGAUCGGGUGUAUUGUAACAGGUCAUGGCGACGAUGCUGACUCUUCUUUCAUAUCUGAUAUGAACGCUUUUAGGGUUAACAUCAGCGACGAUGGUGGUGGUACGUAUUCAUUAGAGGAAGCGAAUGGGCCGGUGGGGGUCAGAAUUUUUUGUUAGGUUUCUAGAUGAAAGAACCCAAAUUUAUGUUCUUCUGGUGGGGAAGAACGUGAUACUCUACAGAUAAGGUACCAAAAUUAGGGUAAUUGGAAUUCAAAGAACCCCAUCGGUGCCUAAAAUCAAAAAAGUUGAUGACUUAACAUUGACCUUCUCAAUUGCAAACCCUUCUGUACAUUAAAUUCCAAAUAUAUGUAGAUGAGAAAGAAGAUGAGAGGGUCGAUUUCUAGUGAGAAGUAGAUACAUAUGGUUGAGUUCUGGUGAGCAGAAGAGGUGUGUGAGGAGGUGAGGAGAGAGAACGGGAUAUAUUUUGAGACGGAGAAGAAGAAGAUCAUGAUAAUCAAAGAGAGAGGGAGAAAAAGAGGGGUUAUAAGGAGUAUUUGGUAUAUUAUUAUUGUUUAACGCUUAUAUAAUAAUAAUAAUAGCUAGGCUAUUAAAUUAGUUUCGUCAAGCGUUAGACUAAAUUCUAGUGGUAAUGAUACUAGGUUUCGUCAAGGGAUAAUUGUUUUAUGAGUAACGAAGUGUUGUCCGAGUGCCGACUCACCACCUUAU